rnacentral:rRNA from 1 species
UACGUAGGGGGCGAGCGUUGUCCGGAUUUAUUGGGCGUAAAGAGCUCGUAGGCGGCUCGGUAAGUCGGAUGUGAAACCUCCAGGCUCAACCUGGAGACGCCAUCUGAUACUGCCCGUGGCUUGAGUCCGGUAGAGGAGCAGGGAAUUCCUGGUGUAGCGGUGAAACUGCGCAGAUAUCAGGAGGAACACCAGCGGCGAAGGCGCUGCUCUGGGCCGGUACUGACGCUGAGGAGCGAAAGCGUGGGGAGCGAACAGG